rnacentral:rRNA from 1 species
UUUAGCGGACCUGAUCUUUGAUCAUGGUCUCGCGAAAACUUGUAUUUAAAACCCCACUCUUAUAAAUUGAAUCAUUUUAUAUUAUGUAUGUAAUAAAUAAAGAUCACUUUCAACAACGGAUCUCUUGGCUCUCGCAUCGAUGAAGAACGUAGCGAAGU